UACAGAGGGUGCAAGCGUUAAUCGGAAUUACUGGGCGUAAAGGGUGCGUAGGUGGUUGAAUAAGUUAGGUGUGAAAGUCCAGGGCUUAACCUUGGGAUUGCGCCUAAUACUGUUUAGCUAGAGUACUGUAGAGGAAGGUGGAAUUUCCGGUGUAGCGGUGAAAUGCGUAGAUAUCGGAAGGAACAUCGGUGGCGAAGGCGACUUUCUGGACAGAUACUGACACUGAGGCACGAAAGCGUGGGGAGCAAACAGG
rnacentral:rRNA from 1 species